AGAGUUGAUCAUGGCUCAGGACGAACGCUGGCGGCGUGCCUAACACAUGCAAGUCGAACGAGAAUCUAAGGAACGGAGCUUCGGCAAAGGGAAUUAGAGGACAGUGGCGGACGGGUGAGUAACGCGUGAGCAACCUGCCCUUCGGAGGGGGACAACAGCUGGAAACGGCUGCUAAUACCGCAUGACAUAUACUGACGGCAUCGUCGGUAUAUCAAAGAUUUAUCGCCGAAGGAUGGGCUCGCGUCUGAUUAGCUGGUUGGUGGGUAACGGCCUACCAAGGCGACGAUCAGUAGCCGGACUGAGAGGUUGAACGGCCACAUUGGGACUGAGAUACGGCCCAGACUCCUACGGGAGGCAGCAGUGGGGAAUAUUGGGCAAUGGGGGCAACCCUGACCCAGCAACGCCGCGUGAAGGAAGAAGGCUUUCGGGUUGUAAACUUCUUUGACGAGGGACGAAAAAUGACGGUACCUCGAAAACAAGCCACGGCUAACUACGUGCCAGCAGCUGC
rnacentral:rRNA from 1 species